rnacentral:rRNA from 1 species
AUUGAACGCUGGCGGCAUGCUUUACACAUGCAAGUCGAACGGCAGCGCGGGCUUCGGCCUGGCGGCGAGUGGCGAACGGGUGAGUAAUGCAUCGGAACGUGCCCAGUAGUGGGGGAUAGCCCGGCGAAAGCCGGAUUAAUACCGCAAACGACCUGAGGGUGAAAGCGGGGGACCGAAAGGCCUCGCGCUAUUGGAGCGGCCGAUGUCGGAUUAGCUAGUUGGUGGGGUAAAGGCUUACCAAGGCGACGAUCCGUAGCUGGUCUGAGAGGACGACCAGCCACACUGGAACUGAGACACGGCCCAGACUCCUACGGGAGGCAGCAGUGGGGAAUUUUGGACAAUGGGGGCAACCCUGAUCCAGCCAUGCCGCGUGCGGGAAGAAGGCCUUCGGGUUGUAAACCGCUUUUGUUCGGGAAGAAAUCCUCUGGGCUAAUACCCCGGGGGGAUGACGGUACCGGAAGAAUAAGCACCGGCUAACUACGUG